GAUAUGGAAAUCCAGCUCUGUCAUCCAGCCGGGAGUGUAGUGGCAUGAUCUCGGCUCACCGCAACCUCUCCCCCCUGGGUUCAAGCAAUUCUCUGCCUCAGCCUCCUGAGUAGCUGAGAUUACAGUGAGCUACUAUCACAUAGUUGCACGCCAGCCUGGGUGACAGGGUGAAACCCUAUCCAAAUAAUAAUAAUAAUAAUUUGACAAAUAAAGUCUCUUUUAAUGUAGCUGGAAUUGUGUAAGAAAGUCUUUCCUCAGCAAAUAAGAAAUGGACUAUGAAAUCUCCCAGAAUCUUUUUUAGCCCCUAAUUAGCUAUAAAUCUCCUGACAGUUUAGCCAUGGGAGGCCCAAGACAUGAAUUGGUGGCAUGGCACAUGGUCUAAUGUGCAUAUUGUAUAAAGUUAUCUAAAUACAUCUUGAGAGAGUCCACGCUUUCUCCAUUCUUUUG
ensembl:lncRNA LINC02157 long intergenic non-protein coding RNA 2157